CCUACGGGUGGCAGCAGUGAGGAAUAUUGGUCAAUGGGCGAGAGCCUGAACCAGCCAAGUCGCGUGAGGGAGUACUGCCCUAUGGGUUGUAAACCUCUUUUGUCGGGGAGCAAAAGCCGGACGUGUCCGGCUGUGAGAGUACCCGAAGAAAAAGCAUCGGCUAACUCCGUGCCAGCAGCCGCGGUAAUACGGAGGAUGCGAGCGUUAUCCGGAAUUACUGGGUGUAAAGGGAGCGUAGGCGGGAUAUCAAGUUGAAUGUGAAAUCUACCGGCUCAACUGGUAGGCUGCGUUCAAAACUGAUAUUCUUGAGUGAAGUAGAGGUUGGCGGAAUUCCUAGUGUAGCGGUGAAAUGCGUAGAUAUUAGGAGGAACACCAGUGGCGAAGGCGGUCAACUGGGCUUUUACUGACGCUGAGGCUCGAAAGCGUGGGGAGCAAACAGGAUUAGAUACCCGGGUAGUC
rnacentral:rRNA from 1 species